GCUCCGGUGGUUUAGUUGUCAGAGCGUCCGCCUUGGAUGCGAGAGGUACUGGGUUCGAUCCCCAUCGAGUCA